rfam:Aeribacillus pallidus strain 8m3 NODE_32, whole genome shotgun sequence.
UAAAAAUACGAAUGAUUUUCUCGUAUAAGUUUGGAAAUACGGUCCAAACGUUUCUACCAAACUACCGUAAAUAGUUUGACUACGAGAGACGAUACACAACUC